UACGUAGGGGGCAAGCGUUGUCCGGAUUUAUUGGGCGUAAAGAGCGUGUAGGCGGCCAGACAGGUCCGUUGUGAAAACUCGAGGCUCAACCUCGAGACGCCGAUGGAAACCGUCUGGCUAGAGUCCGGAAGAGGAGAGUGGAAUUCCUGGUGUAGCGGUGAAAUGCGCAGAUAUCAGGAAGAACACCCGUGGCUAAGGCGGCUCUCUAGUACGGUACCGACGCUGAGACGCGAAAGCGUGGGGAGCGAACAGG
rnacentral:rRNA from 1 species